ACGCUGGCGGUAUGCUUAACACAUGCAAGUCGAACGGUCUCUUCGGAGAUAGUGGCGGACGGGUGAGUAACGCGUGAGAAUCUGCCUUCAGGUCUGGGACAACCAUUGGAAACGGUGGCUAAUACCGGAUGAGCAGAGAUGUAAAAGAUUAAUUGCCUGAAGAUGAGCUCGCGCCUGAUUAGCUAGUUGGUGGGGUAAGAGCCUACCAAGGCGACGAUCAAUAGCUGGUCUGAGAGGAUGAUCAGCCACACUGGGACUGAGACACGGCCCAGACUCCUACGGGAGGCAGCAGUGGGGAAUUUUCCGCAAUGGGCGAAAGCCUGACGGAGCAAUACCGCGUGAGGGAGGAAGGCUCUUGGGUCGUAAACCUCUUUUCUCAGGGAAGAAAAAAAUGACGGUACCUGAGGAAUAAGCAUCGGCUAACUCCGUGCCAGCAGCCGCGGUAAUACGGAGGAUGCAAGCGUUAUCCGGAAUGAUUGGGCGUAAAGCGUCCGCAGGUGGCUAUGUAAGUCUGCUGUUAAAGAGUCUAGCUCAACUAGAUAAAAGCAGUGGAAACUACAUGGCUAGAGUGCGUUCGGGGCAGAGGGAAUUCCUGGUGUAGCGGUGAAAUGCGUAGAGAUCAGGAAGAACACCGGUGGCGAAAGCGCUCUGCUAGGCCGCAACUGACACUGAGGGACGAAAGCUAGGGGAGCGAAUGGGAUUAGAUACCCCAGUAGUCCUAGCCGUAAACGAUGGAUACUAGGCGUGGCUUGUAUCGACCCGAGCCGUGCCGUAGCUAACGCGUUAAGUAUCCCGCCUGGGGGAGUACGCACGCAAGUGUGAAAC
rnacentral:rRNA from 1 species